GCCGAAAUAGCUCAGUUGGGAGAGCGUUAGACCGAAGAUUUAAAGGUCCCUGGUUCGAUCCCGGGUUUCGGCA
rnacentral:tRNA from 1 species